rnacentral:rRNA from 1 species
UACGUAGGGGGCGAGCGUUGUCCGGAUUUAUUGGGCGUAAAGAGCGUGUAGGCGGCCAGGUAGGUCUGCUGUGAAAACUCGAGGCUCAACCUCGAGACGUCGGCGGAAACCAUCUGGCUAGAGUCCGGAAGAGGAGAGUGGAAUUCCUGGUGUAGCGGUGAAAUGCGCAGAUAUCAGGAGGAACACCGGUGGCGAAGGCGGCAUCCUGGACCAAUAUUGACGCUGAGGAGCGAAAGCCAGGGGAGCAAACGGG